GAUGAACGCUGGCGGCGUGCCUAAUACAUGCAAGUCGAGCGAACAGAUAAGGAGCUUGCUCCUUUGACGUUAGCGGCGGACGGGUGAGUAACACGUGGGUAACCUACCUAUAAGACUGGGAUAACUUCGGGAAACCGGAGCUAAUACCGGAUAACAUUUGGAACCGCAUGGUUCUAAAGUGAAAGAUGGUUUUGCUAUCACUUAUAGAUGGACCCGCGCCGUAUUAGCUAGUUGGUAAGGUAACGGCUUACCAAGGCAACGAUACGUAGCCGACCUGAGAGAGUGAUCGGCCACACUGGAACUGAGACGCGGUCCAGACUCCUACGGGAGGCAGCAGUAGGGAAUCUUCCGCAAUGGGCGAAAGCCUGACGGAGCAACGCCGCGUGAGUGAUGAAGGGUUUCGGCUCGUAAAACUCUGUUAUUAGGGAAGAACAAACGUGUAAGUAACUGUGCACGUCUUGACGGUACCUAAUCAGAAAGCCACGGCUAACUACGUG
rnacentral:rRNA from 1 species